GACGAACGCUGGCGGCGUGCUUAACACAUGCAAGUCGAACGGAAAGGCCCUGCUUUUGUGGGGUGCUCGAGUGGCGAACGGGUGAGUAACACGUGAGUAACCUGCCCUUGACUUUGGGAUAACUUCAGGAAACUGGGGCUAAUACCGGAUAGGAGCUCCUGCUGCAUGGUGGGGGUUGGAAAGUUUCGGCGGUUGGGGAUGGACUCGCGGCUUAUCAGCUUGUUGGUGGGGUAGUGGCUUACCAAGGCUUUGACGGGUAGCCGGCCUGAGAGGGUGACCGGCCAAAUUGGGACUGAGAUACGGCCCAGACUCCUACGGGAGGAAGCAGUGGGGAAUAUUGCACAAGGGGCGGAAGCCUGAUGCAGCAACGCCGCGUGCGGGAUGACGGCCUUCGGGUUGUAAACCGUUUUCGCCUGUGACGAAGCGUGAGUGACGGUAAUGGGUAAAGAAGCACCGGAUAACUACGUG
rnacentral:rRNA from 1 species